GCCGGGCGUGGUGGUGCAUGCCUGUAGUCCCAGCUACUCAGGAGGCUGAGGCAGGAGAAUUGCUUGAACCCAGGGAGGUUGCAAUGAGCUGAGAUCAUGCCACUACACUCCAGCCUGGGUGACAGAGCAAGACUCUGUCUCAA
rnacentral:SRP_RNA from 1 species